rnacentral:ncRNA from 1 species
AAUAGAGGCGCGUCAGCACAAGAGUAUCCCGUGGGAGAUACCGGAUCCGUGAUCACGGGAGAAAGGGUGCGACGCCGAAGAUCACCGGCCUCCGGCGGGCGGGCGGUCUGGCCUUACGGUUAAGAGCCGUAGGGUUGUCAUCAUGCUUUAUGAUGGAGCGCUAUU